rnacentral:rRNA from 1 species
GACGAACGCUGGCGGCGUGCUUAACACAUGCAAGUCGAACGGAAAGGCCCUGCUUUUGUGGGGUGCUCGAGUGGCGAACGGGUGAGUAACACGUGAGUAACCUGCCCUUGACUUUGGGAUAACUUCAGGAAACUGGGGCUAAUACCGGAUAGGAGCUCCUGCUGCAUGGUGGGGGUUGGAAAGUUUCGGCGGUUGGGGAUGGACUCGCGGCUUAUCAGCUUGUUGGUGGGGUAGUGGCUUACCAAGGCUUUGACGGGUAGCCGGCCUGAGAGGGUGACCGGCCACAUGGGGACUGAGAUACGGCCCAGACUGCUACGGGAGGCAGCGGUGGGGAAUAUUGCACAAUGGGCCGAAGCCUGAUGCAGCAACGCCGCGUGCGGGAUGACGGCCUUCGGGUUGUAAACCGCUUUCGCCUGUGACGAAGCGUGAGUGACGGUAAUGGGUAAAGAAGCACCGGCUAACUACGU